ensembl:lncRNA
CAAAAUGAUAGUUGUCUGAUUUUAAAUGACGACUUGUCACGACUCUGUACUACUUCUAGCACCACAUAGGUCCCUGAUUGGUACUCUUAGGAUGUUUAUAGGAAAGUUGUUUAAUUGGCAGUGAAAAUAAUUAACAAAAAGUGUGAUCAUGGGUGACUGUAUUGUGACGUAUUGUACUGCCCAGUGGAAACUAUUUAUUUAUUUAUUUAUUUUUAAUUUUUACAAGUAUUUGCACUGCUAAACAAAAUAUACUUCCUGCCCAUGUUAUUAAACACAUCCAUGUUGCUGGUCAAUUUGUAGGUGUACAGUUUGGACUUUUUCCCAUGCACAAUGUGUUAAUUAUACUGUUGCUCGGGUUCCAAUCGGCCCAUUUCCAUGCAGAGUUUCAAAUGUUCCCUGCUCUCAAACACACCUGAUCCAACUUAAGUGCUUGAUAAUUAGCUCAGGAGCUAAAAAUGGUGUGUUGCCAGCAGGUAAAACUAGGCAGUCAGCCCAGAUUAGGAUUUUUCCUUAAACUCGGUAGUACUGGGGUGUACCACAUAAACUCAAAAAGGUUACUGUACAUAGCUUGUCUUCCAUCUUCAUUCACAUGUUAGUCUAGCAAAAGUUGUACCUAGGAAUACGUACAAUUAUCUACUUGCAACUAAUUACAAAAAUCUUCCAAAAUUCCCCAGUCAGUGAUAAUCUGCUUUACUUUAGUGGUCACAUCACAUAUACACAUAUUGACAGACGCACAAGGCAUAGACAAGGAGGUUUUUUUUUUUAAUACACUUUACGUUUACAAAUUUUCCAAAAAGUACAAAUCGUUAGCUUAAAUACCAAGUGUUACUUCAUUACGUACAAGAAUAUCCAGCAAUUACCCAUGAUGCAUUGCAUCCAUACAAAUAAACAGCUUUUUACAAGUCUUACAAAAUGUUAACAUACAGCUUUGCUAUGGUAAUAGAUAUUAUUAUACAGUACAGUAUAUAUUCUGCCAAGAGUUACAACUAAUUUAGAAACAGGAAGGCAUUUAGACACAAUCUGAACACAAUUCUCAAACUGGCUGAUUUUAUAUUCAAAUUCAAACGAAUGGCCGUUUUUUUUUUUGUUUGUUUGUUUUUUUUUCAUCAUUGCAGCACUCAUCUUAACAAGGCCUCGUCAUAUCAUCAAGCCCUUCUACUUCAUUUCAAAUCAGAGAACUUCUGCCAAUAAAAAUGUUCAAAUGCUACCAGAUUGUCUAGGUUUUGUUAAAGUUGUGCACUCGUUCUCUGCCGAUUUGUAUUGAGGUCGAUUCUUGUACAACACCAGUAUGGAUUCUGAGACAGUCCUGAGUUGCUAAAGAAUGUCCUAGUUAAUGUCUAGUCCUUUUGACAAACAGGAAACUCUUGGAAAUUGCAGCAAGUCUACAGGGAAAUGGUAGGGAAAAAGUCAGAAUAAACAUUCAAAGAAAACAAAAUGAAAAGUCCAAUUCUUAUGUCAGUUCAAUUUGUCUCAAGUGGCAUAUCAUCAUGGAAAAUGCGAAGCGAUAUUAAACAACCACGCUUUACCGUCCAGGUUUAUUGUCGCUUCCAUUCUAGAGCAGUGGUUCUCAAAAUGGGGUCACAGUAAUAUAGCAUAAUUUUAUUAAAGUUGUCGAAAUUGUAUUUAUUGAGUUCCUAUACUGAGUUUUCAGCCUAUUUGACUGGUCAAUUGAAUUCAUUGAAAUAAAUAAUGUCGACUUGUUCCUACGGUGAAAAGUUCAGGAAUCAAAUGCUCAAAUAAACAAUAAAUAGCUAUAAUAUUAUUGUAUCCAUUUAAAUAAUGAGCCUAAUAUUUUAAUAAUUCAUAAAACAUAUGACGGCUUGGAUUUUAUUGACUUAUUUUAAGUGAUUCCUGGCUGCAAAAAAAAAAACGUUUGAGAACCCAUGUUCUUAGAAUAUUCCUGCAAAUAAACAUGUUGAUUUUAGAGGGAAAAAAAAAUCUUUUGCAACAAUGCAUCAUACAUAACAAAGCCUUGAAUAAGUUUUACAUCUAGGAAUAUCAGAAAGCGUACGGAGGAACACACGGCAUCGUUUUCAUCAUGUUCAUGUCACCGUUGCUGUUUCAGAGAAGGAAUAUCUCGAUUUGAAAUUUUGUUCCUUCUACCUUCCUUACCUUAGUAACAAUAAAGCUUACGAAUUACCAAAAAAUAUAUAAAUAAAAAAACAGAAAUUGUUCGUGUCUUUUUGUGCAGACAUUAUAGAGCUCACCAUUUAGCACAGUAUACGAAGAAUUUCUGGAAAAUACCAGUGUACAGCGCAGUAACUACAAAAGCGCUCAGUCAAUUAGACGUCGUUCUCUUUAUGACCUUUUAAAGUCUGGUGGAAGUUUGGAUCGAUACGUAAAAAUGGUUACACCGGUGACUGAGCGCACAGAGGAAACUCUUCAUUUCUCACAACCAAAACACAAGCGAACGAUUUCACGUAACAUAAAAUUCGAUUUUGUUUAGGCCCUAGUAAAAAUACAGACUAAGCAAAAAUAAAUCAACUUUGUCACUCUGUAAUCAACAAAAUUAAACACCUUACAUUUCAAUAUAAGUCUCUUAUUCAUUAUAUUUAUUUUUAUUUUGAAAUCUGUGUAUAUUUUACAUAUUUGACGUAUGGAUACAUGCAGAGAGGUUCUAGUGGACCCAGUCUGACCCAGAAUAAAGAGCCAAGGUCAUGGCUCAGAUUCAAAAUGGAAAUGGUUCGAACUGCUUGGACAUCUGAACGGCAGACGAUUCAAAACUUGCACGAUGCGAGACGUUAUAUUCUACUCAAAAAAUAAAGAUUAGAUCGAUUUACUCCCUGUUGUUCCUUUGUUCCAGAUAUAGACCUUGUGGUUUUUAUUAGUUUUGCAUCUCAGCAGAAUUUCACAAAAUGUUCGAACAGAAUAUGAUCUCACGUGGCAGCGAAAGUAAGUGGAUAUAAUCACGUGAAACAGAGCAUGGUGAGCUUGGAAGGAAAAAAAAGUGGUCCAGUAUACAGUAAGGAGAUGAGUGUAUCACAGAAAAUGGUGUAUGGAGACAAAUCAAAUGGGACGCAUGAGGUACGACAACAAUUUCUUUAAUGCCUUUCUUUUUUUCCUAUAUAUAGGUUCAGUGGUGCAAUACCAAUGUUAGAAAUAUUACAACAGACCCCCAUGUCAUGGGCAAAGAUUAUUUCCUCUGUCUAAAUAUACGUGGCAGCCUGGGACAACCUUUCACAUGAUGACGUUGUCAUAUUUUCUACUAUAUAUAGUUCUGAAAUUGAAAUAUGUUUCUCUUUUGCAUUAGGGAUGUUACGGACUUAUUCUACGGUAUUAUAAUCUAGUCCAAAUCACCAUAUCAUGGUUUCACAGUAUUAAUAAACACAAAAAGUGAUACAAAUUAAUUGGAAUAUAUAUAUUAUCUAUAUAUUUUUAAGAAUGACUUUCCAUAAAGUCUCACUGUCAGUAUUUAUCAUGUUGUAGUUAUGAGCUGAAAGAGAGAGUGGCUGGGAGGAAAGGUAGCAUGCAGCAUGGAGCAUCUUGUAUGAUAUAAAGUUAGAUCGGGGAUUUUUGGUUUAAAAAAAAUAAUAAUUAAAUGGCGCAAUCAUACAAUGUGACUAACUGUGAAUGUGAAAGUGUGACAUUGUAACAACUAGGGGCAUUAGCUGGACUGUUAAUCAUCCAGGGCUGAGCCCAGAUUCUUCUCCAUCAACAUUUUUUACAGUUUCCAUGCUUUUUUUCUUGCAUGUAAAGGCUAACUGCUUUAAAAAAUGUGAAAAUUGGACAAAAGAUUUAUCAAUUUCUCAUAAAACUUGCCUCUGGUGGACUUUAUGCACUGCUUGUCGGACUUCCAGACGGGUAAAAUAUAAAACCUUCUGGCUAUCUAACGCGAGACCAGGCUAGUUUGGUGUCGCUAGCCAAGGAGAGAGACAACUAAGCUGACACUGUAUGGGUUUAGCUUCUACAGUGCCAUGUAAAGUACAUCAUCUGUUCCUACGCUCUGCUCAUAUCAUGUUCACGUAAACUGGAACUCGUAUAGACAUUUACACACCUUGAUUUCCUGCUCAGCGUCAGAGGAUGUUAGUACUUCAGUUUCAAUCCUUCUACUGGUAAAAAUAUAUAUAUAUAUAUAUAUAUAU